CUCUGUGACUCCUACGGGAGGCAGCAGUGGGGAAUAUUGCACAAUGGGGGAAACCCUGAUGCAGCCAUGCCGCGUGUGUGAAGAAGGCCUUCGGGUUGUAAAGCACUUUCAGUAGGGAGGAAGGUAGUGUAGUUAACACCUGCAUUAUUUGACGUUACCUACAGAAGAAGCACCGGCUAACUCCGUGCCAGCAGCCGCGGUAAUACGGAGGGUGCGAGCGUUAAUCGGAAUUACUGGGCGUAAAGCGCAUGCAGGCGGCCUGUUAAGUCAGAUGUGAAAGCCCGGGGCUUAACCUCGGAAUUGCAUUUGAAACUGGCAGGCUAGAGUCUUGUAGAGGGGGUAGAAUUUCAGGUGUAGCGGUGAAAAUGCGUAGAGAUCUGAAGGAAUACCAGUGGCGAAGGCGGCCCCCUGGACAAAGACUGACGCUCAGAUGCGAAAGCGUGGGGAGCAAACAGGUUUAGAUACCCUGGUAG
rnacentral:rRNA from 1 species